GAUGAACGCUGGCGGCGUGCCUAAUACAUGCAAGUCGAGCGAACGGACGAGAAGCUUGCUUUUCUGAUGUUAGCGGCGGACGGGUGAGUAACACGUGGAUAACCUACCUAUAAGACUGGGAUAACUUCGGGAAACCGGAGCUAAUACCGGAUAAUAUUUUGAACCGCAUGGUUCAAAAGUGAAAGACGGUCUUGCUGUCACUUAUAGAUGGAUCCGCGCUGCAUUAGCUAGUUGGUAAGGUAACGGCUUACCAAGGCAACGAUGCAUAGCCGACCUGAGAGGGUGAUCGGCCACACUGGAACUGAGACACGGUCCAGACUCCUACGGGAGGCAGCAGUAGGGAAUCUUCCGCGAUGGGCGAAAGCCUGACGGAGCAACGCCGCGUGAGUGAUGAAGGUCUUCGGAUCGUAAAACUCUGUUGUUAGGGAAGAACAUAUGUGUAAGUAACUGUGCACAUCUUGACGGUACCUAAUCAGAAAGCCACGGCUAACUACGUG
rnacentral:rRNA from 1 species